rfam:Schistosoma margrebowiei strain Zambia genome assembly, scaffold: SMRZ_scaffold0000961
AUCCGGCUGGCGAAUCCAAACUAGGGCGAAACGCGCGUCCUGGAU